rnacentral:rRNA from 1 species
UACAGAGGGUGCGAGCGUUGUUCGGAAUUACUGGGCGUAAAGCGCGCGCAGGCGGCUCUUUACGUCUGACGGUGAAAUGCCGGGGCUCAACCCCGUGCCCGCCGCGGAUACUGGAGGGCUGGAGACACGUAGAGGCAAGCGGAAUUCCGGGUGUAGCGGUGGAAUGCGUAGAGAUCCGGAAGAACACCGGAGGCGAAGGCGGCUUGCUGGGCGUAGUCUGACGCUGAGGCGCGAAAGCGUGGGGAGCGAACAGG